AGGACGAACGCUGGCGGCGUGCUUAACGACAUGCAAGUGGAGCGACGAACCGGGGCUUGCCCCGGGGCAGAGCCGCGAACGGGUGAGUAACACGUGGGUUACCUGCCUUGAUGACCGGGACAACCCGAGGAAACUCGGGCUAAUACCGGAUGUGCCCGCAAGGGGAAAGGAAGCUUCGGCCUCCGCAUCAAGAUGGGCCCGCGGCCCAUUAGCUUGUUGGUGAGGUAACGGCUCACCAAGGCUUCGAUGGGUAGCUGGUCUGAGAGGACGAUCAGCCACACUGGGACUGAGACACGGCCCAGACUCCUACGGGAGGCAGCAGUGGGGAAUCUUGCGCAAUGCGCGAAAGCGUGACGCAGCAACGCCGCGUGGGGGAAGAAGGCUUUCGGGUGUAAACCCCUUUCAGUUGGGACGAAGCUUCUCCGGUGAAUAGCCGGACGGAGUGACGGUACCUUCACAAGAAGCACCGGCUAACUACGCGCCAGCAGCCGCGGUAA
rnacentral:rRNA from 1 species